GAUUAAGAAACUCGUUAAAAAAGCUCGAGACCGAGCUCAAAAUUAAAAAGUUUGGUUUGAGCUCAAGUUCAGGCUCGAGCUCGAAUUAAUAAUUACACUUUAAUCAGUUUUUAAUCAUCAUUAAUUUAAAUAAUAUAAAAAAAGAGAGUGUACAUAAAAAAAAAUUACGUAACACAAUUUAUAACUAAAAUAACACAAAUAAAUAUAAAUUCAACAACAUAAUAAAAUUAGAUUACAC
rnacentral:lncRNA from 1 species